UCGAGAAUCUUUCGCAAUGGGCGCAAGCCUGACGAAGCGACGCCGUGUGAGUGAAGAAGGCCUUCGGGUUGUAAAACUCUUUCGCCAGGGAACAAGAGAGUCUGGUUAAUAACCAGAUAAUUUGAUGGUACUUGGUAAAGAAGCACCGGCUAACUCCGUGCCAGCAGCUGCGGUAAUACGGAGGGUGCAAGCAUUGAUCGGAAUUACUGGGCGUAAAGGGCGCGUAGGCGGUCCGAAAAGUCAGAUGUGAAAUUCCGGGGCUCAACCCCGGAGCUGCAUUUGAAACUUUUAGACUAGAGUAUAGUGAGGGUAAACGGAAUUCCACGUGUAGCGGUGAAAUGCGUAGAUAUGUGGAAGAACACCAGUGGUGAAGACGGUUUACUGUGCUAUAACUGACGCU
rnacentral:rRNA from 1 species